GCGGAUGUCGUCUAAUGGCAGGGCCCCAGCUUCCCAAGCUGGCGACGCGGGUUCGAUUCCCGUCAUCCGCU
rnacentral:tRNA from 1 species